rnacentral:rRNA from 1 species
GAUGAACGCUGGCGGCGUGCCUAAUACAUGCAAGUCGAGCGAACAGACGAGGAGCUUGCUCCUCUGACGUUAGCGGCGGACGGGUGAGUAACACGUGGAUAACCUACCUAUAAGACUGGGAUAACUUCGGGAAACCGGAGCUAAUACCGGAUAAUAUAUUGAACCGCAUGGUUCAAUAGUGAAAGACGGUUUUGCUGUCACUUAUAGAUGGAUCCGCGCCGCAUUAGCUAGUUGGUAAGGUAACGGCUUACCAAGGCAACGAUGCGUAGCCGACCUGAGAGGGUGAUCGGCCACACUGGAACUGAGACACGGUCCAGACUCCUACGGGAGGCAGCAGUAGGGAAUCUUCCGCAAUGGGCGAAAGCCUGACGGAGCAACGCCGCGGGAGUGAUGAAGGUCUUCGGAUCGUAAAACUCUGUUAUUAGGGAAGAACAAAUGUGUAAGUAACUAUGCACGUCUUGACGGUACCUAAGCAGAAAGCCACGGCUAACUACGU